rnacentral:rRNA from 1 species
ACGGAGGGUGCGAGCGUUGUUCGGAAUUAUUGGGCGUAAAGGGCGCGUAGGCGGUCGGGUAAGUCACCUGUGAAAUCUCCUGGCUCAACUGGGAGCUUGCAGGCGAAACUGCCUGGCUGGAGUGUGGGAGAGGUGCGUGGAAUUCCCGGUGUAGCAGUGAAAUGCGUAGAGAUCGGGAGGAACACCAGUGGCGAAGGCGGCUACCUGGACCAGCACUGACACUGAGGCACGAAAGCGUGGGGAGCAAACAGGA